GACGGGGGGUCCUAGCGUUGUUCGGAAUUAUUGGGCGUAAAGCGUGUGCAGGUUGUUUGAAAAGUUGGAUGUGAAAUCCUUGGGCUUAACCCAAGACGUGCAUUCAAAACUGCCAAACUUGAGUAUGGAAGAGGAUCGUGGAAUUCCUAGUGUAGUGGUGAAAUACGUAGAUAUUAGGAGGAACACCGGUGGCGAAGGCGACUUACUGGACACAUAUUGACGCUGAGGUGCGAAAGCGUGGGGAGCAAACAGG
rnacentral:rRNA from 1 species